AUGUACGGCAUACUACAUAUACAUAUUUCAUACUACAUCUACUACAUACUACAUCUACAUACUACAUCUAUAUACUACAUACUACAUCUACAUACUACAUCUACAUACUACAUCUAUAUACUGCAUACUACAUCUACUACAUACUACAUCUACAUACUGCAUUUACAUACUGCAUCUACAUCUACAUACUGCAUCUAUAUACUGCAUACUACAUCUACAUACUGCAUCUACAUACUACAUCUAUAUACUACAUCUAUAUACUGCAUCUACAUACUACAUCUAUAUACUGCAUCUACAUACUACAUCUACAUACUGCAUCUACAUACUACAUCUACAUACUGCAUCUACAUACUACAUCUAUAUACUGCAUACUACAUCUACAUACUGCAUCUACAUACUACAUCUAUAUACUGCAUACUACAUCUACAUACUACAUCUAUAUACUGCAUCUACAUACUACAUCUACAUACUGCAUCUACAUCUACAUACUGCAUGUACGGCAUACUACAUAUACAUAUUUCAUACUACAUCUACUACAUACUACAUCUACAUACUACAUCUAUAUACUACAUACUACAUCUACAUACUACAUCUACAUCUAUAUACUACAUCUAUAUACUGCAUACUACAUCUACAUACUACAUCUACAUACUACAUCUAUAUACUGCAUACUACAUCUACAUACUACAUCUAUAUACUACAUACUACAUCUAUAUACUACAUACUACAUCUACAUACUACAUCUUCAUACUACAUCUACAUACUACAUCUGUAUACUACAUGUACUACAUACUGCAUCUACAUACUACAUACUACAUACUAAAUCUACAUACUGCAUGUACUGCAUACUACAUCUAUAUACUGCAUACUACAUCUAUAUACUACAUACUACAUCUAUAUACUACAUACUACAUCUACAUCUUCAUACUACAUCUACAUACUACAUCUAUGUACUACAUGUACUACAUACUACAUCUAUAUACUACAUGUACUACAUACUGCAUCUACAUACUACAUACUACAUACUAA
rnacentral:lncRNA from 1 species